rnacentral:rRNA from 1 species
AGUGAACGCUGGCGGCGUGCUUAACACAUGCAAGUCGAACGAGAACGGAUUAUAGCUUGCUAUAAUUGUCAGCUAAGUGGCGCACGGGUGAGUAAUGUAUAGGUAAUAUGCCUCUUACUAAGGGAUAACAAAUGGAAACGUUUGCUAAUACCUUAUACUCCUUAUUAACAUAAGUUAAUAAGGGAAAGAUUUAUUGGUAAGGGAUUAGCCUGUAUUGUAUCAGUUAGUUGGUGGGGUAAUGGCUUACCAAGACUAUGACACAUAACUGGUUUGAGGGGAUGGUCAGUGACACUGGAACGGAGACACGGUCCAGACUCCUACGGGAGGGAGCAGUGGGGAAUGGUGCACAGUGGACGGAAGGAUGAAGCAGCAACGCCGGGAAGAGGAUGACACCUUUCAGUGCGUAAACUCCUUUUAUAUGAGAAGAUAAUGACGGUAUUAUAUGAAUAAGCACCGGCUAACUCCGUGCCAGCCGCCGCCGUAA